CUACGGGUGGCUCCAGGCGCGAAAACUUUACAAUGCAGGAAACUGUGAUAAGGGAACCCCGAGUGCCCGUACACGCGGGCUGUCUGGGUGUUUAAAAUGCACCCAAAGAAAGGGCCGGGCAAGACCGGUGCCAGCCGCCGCGGUAAUACCGGCGGCUCGAGUGGUGACCACCUUUAUUGGGCUUAAAGCGUUCGUAGCUGGACUGCUAAGUCCCUUGGGAAAUCCGCCGGCUUAACCGGCGGGCGUCUAAGGGAUACUGGCAGUCUUGGGACCGGGAGAGGUAAGAGGUACUCCGGGGGUAGGAGUGAUAUCCUGUAAUCCCCGGGGGACCACCGGUGGCGAAGGCGUCUUACCAGAACGGCUCCGACAGUGAGGAACGAAAGCUGGGGGAGCGAACCGGAUUAGAUACCCGGGUAGUC
rnacentral:rRNA from 1 species